rnacentral:lncRNA from 1 species
GGCAUAAUUGGAAAGGAAAAUACGAAACAAUCCCACCACGCGGAUUUGGUUGUUUCAUAAAAUGGAGUUUUUCAUUGUUUCGGAACAAUGGAUUAAACAAUACGAUACAAUCAGUUUUAUAUAAACAAUCAAAACAAACAUUGUAUGUGAGGUAACAAUACAAUACAAUACAACCGGAAACAACCAUCCAAACACAGUGUUAAACUCACAUUCUUGUCAAACUAAUAGGAGUAUAAUACAAAUUAUGCACCAUUAUCUAUAAUCUAUAAAAUUCUAAAGGGUUCCACAUCAAAAGAAAACUAUGUUCUAAGUAUUUGCUCCGAGAAUUUCAGAUGUCGUCACCAGAUGAUCUUCUGCAGUCAAGGAUGAAGUACUUUCACUCUUUGCAUCAAGGUUGAAUACUUAAUCUUCUUGCAUUGAAUAGAUUGAAAUGCACCCUAUAAAUUUAAAAGAAAUAAUAAUUAACACAAAAGAAUUAGUGAACCAAAAAGCGCAUUAAUACAAGAAUUUUUAGUAUACAAUAAGAGGGGAAAACUCAAAGCAACAAGAUAAGAAAAUAAACCUGUAUACUUUUUAAAAAACUUUUGAAAGAAUUCUCAUCUCAUUUUUGUAAUGUCUUUUCGACGAACUGCGGCUCCUCCCAAUAUUACAUUUUAAUCUUCAAAGUACCACUCAAUACCUAUCACAAUACGACAAAAUAUCUAUCAAAUUAUUAUAAUAUAAAUCCCAAAUUUUAAAUCAAAUAGGUGUAUUGGGAUCUAAAAAUCCUAAGAUAUAUAUACAUAAAUAUACCUGAAAAAAGAGAAGCCAUCGGGCUAUUUAGCCAGUGAUUCCGCUGGUUUGCUCUCUUCAUGUGAAGAGAGUCACUGUUGAAGAAGGAAAUGGAAAAGGGGGGAUGGGGUUGGCGGCAGGGUAGGGAAACAUAUAAAGUGAGAAUGUUAUUAGGUUUGUGAAUUUUGGUUUGGGC